rnacentral:rRNA from 1 species
UACGUAGGGGGCAAGCGUUGUCCGGAUUUAUUGGGCGUAAAGAGCGUGUAGGCGGCCAUACAGGUCCGUUGUGAAAACUGGAGGCUUAACCUCCAGACGUCGAUGGAAACCGUAUGGCUAGAGUCCGGAAGAGGAGAGUGGAAUUCACGGUGUAGCAGUGAAAUGCGUAGAUAUCGUGAGGAAGACCAGUUGCGAAGGCGGAUCUCUGGGCAGUUCCUGACACUGAGGCACGAAGGCCAGGGGAGCAAACGGG